GCAGUUGUUCCGUAAGGUUCGAUUGUGGAAACCGGCGAACGGGUGCGUAACACGUGAGAAACCUGCCCCCCAGACCGGGAUAGCCCGAGGAAACUCGGAUUAAUACCGGAUACUCUCAUCGGAUUGCAUGAUCCGAUGAGGAAAGAGUCCGCUGCUGGGGGAUGGUCUCGCGGCCUAUCAGGUAGUUGGUGAGGUAACGGCUCACCAAGCCGAAGACGGGUAGCUGGUCUGAGAGGACGAUCAGCCACACUGGAACUGAGAUACGGUCCAGACUCCUACGGGAGGCAGCAGCAGGGAAUAUUGCACAAUGGGCGAAAGCCUGAUGCAGCGACACCGCGUGCGGGAUGAAGGCCUUCGGGUUGUAAACCGCUUUCAGGAGGGAAGAAAAUGACGGUACCUCCAGAAGAAGCUCCGGCUAACUACGUGCCAGCAGCCGCGGUAAUACGUAGGGAGCAAACGUUGUCCGGAUUUAUUGGGCGUAAAGGGCUCGUAGGCGGUUCAACAAGUCGGUCGUGAAAACCCGGGGCUCAACCCCGGGACGCCGGUCGAAACUGUUGUGACUAGAGUUCGGUAGAGGUGAGUG
rnacentral:rRNA from 1 species